UGGUGGGAUACUACCCUAGCUGUGUUGGCUUUCUAACCCGCACCACUUAUCGUGGUGGGAGACAGUGUCAGGCGGGCAGUUUGACUGGGGCGGUCGCCCCCUAAAAGGUAACGGAGGCGCUCAAAGGUUCCCUCAGAAUGGUUGGAAAUCAUUCAUAGAGUGUAAAGGCAUAAGGGAGCUUGACUGCGAGACCUACAAGUCGAGCAGGGUCGAAAGACGGACUUAG
rnacentral:rRNA from 1 species